rnacentral:rRNA from 1 species
UACGUAGGCAGCGAGCGUUGUUCGGAAUUACUGGGCGUAAAGAGUGUGUAGGCGGUGUUCCAAGUCUGGUGUGAAAUCUCCCGGCUCAACUGGGAGGGUGCGCCGGAAACUGGGAUGCUGGAGUGUGGGAGAGGUAAGCGGAAUUCCUGGUGUAGCGGUGAAAUGCGUAGAUAUCAGGAGGAACACCUGUGGUGUAGACAGCUUACUGGACCACGACUGACGCUGAGACACGAAAGCGUGGGUAGCAAAC